AGAAGUCAAGAAGGACAAGGCCUAAGAAAAGGACAUUACAUUUGACAGACAUUUGGUUACUUUGAUAGAAGCCUUGCUGGAGCUAACACCUGGUGAAUCUGGAGAAAUAACUAAACACAUUUUGGAAAUGGGAAAAAAAGAAGAACCAAAGAAAGAGACCCAAAAAGAAUUGGGAGACUCAAUAGGACACAAAGUCCUACCUACAUCUAAGGCUGCUGAAGGUGA